AUUGAACGCUGGCGGCAGGCCUAACACAUGCAAGUCGAGCGGCAGCGGAAAGUAGCUUGCUACUUUGCCGGCGAGCGGCGGACGGGUGAGUAAUGUCUGGGAAACUGCCUGAUGGAGGGGGAUAACUACUGGAAACGGUAGCUAAUACCGCAUAACGUCGCAAGACCAAAGAGGGGGACCUUCGGGCCUCUUGCCCUCAGAUGUGCCCAGAAGGGAUUAGCUAGUAGGUGGGGUAACGGCUCACCUAGGCAACGAGCCCUAGCUGGUCUGAGAGGAUGACCAGCCACACUGGAACUGAGACACGGGCCAGACUCCUACGGGAGGCAGCAGUGGGGAAUAUGGCACAAUGGGCGCAAGCCUGAUGCAGCCAUGCCGCGUGUAUGAAGAAGGCCUUCGGGUUGUAAAGUACUUUCAGCGGGGAGGAAGGCGAUAAGGUUAAUAACCUUGUCGAUUGACGUUACCCGCAGAAGAAGCACCGGCUAACUCCGUGCCAGCCGCCGCGGUAA
rnacentral:rRNA from 1 species